rnacentral:rRNA from 1 species
CCUACGGGAGGCUGCAGUGGGGAAUAUUGCACAAUGGGGGAAACCCUGAUGCAGCGACGCCGCGUGAGUGAAGAAGUAUUUCGGUAUGUAAAGCUCUAUCAGCAUGAACGAGACAAGACGGUACCUGACUAAGAAGCCCCGGCUAACUACGUGCCAGCAGCCUCGGGAAUACGUAGGGGGCAAGCGUUAUCCGGAAUCAUUGGGAGUAAAGGGAGCGUAGACGGCUUUGCAAGCCUGAAGUGAAAGGCGGGGGCCCAACCCCUUGACUGCUGUGGGGACUGUACGGCUGGAGUGCAGGAGAGGUAAGUGGAAUUCCUGGUGUAGCGGUGAAAUGCGUAGAUAUUAGGAGGAACACCAGUGGCGAAGGCGGCUUACUGGACUGUAACUGACGUGGAGGCUCGAAAGCGUGGGGAGCAAACAGGAUUAGAUACCCGAGUAGUC